GUUAGGGGCAGAACUUGUAUAAGCCUGUUUGGGGAACCCCGGGUUAGGGGCAGAACUUGUCUAAGCCUGUUUGGGGAACCCCGGGUUAGGGGCAGAACUUGUCUAAGCCUGUUUGGGGAACCCCGGGUUAGGGGCAGAACUUGUCUAAGCCUGUUUGGGGAACCCUGGGUUGGGGGCAGAACUUGUGUGUAGAGAAUGAACACACUUUAAUUGCCAGUAUAUGAUAUAUAUUUUAAGACACACAGCUUUGUCUGUUCAUGUUGGUCUGGCUCAGAGAACGACUACUGUUGUCUAAUGUCCUUCAUGUUGGUCUGGCUCAGAGAACGACUACUGUUGUCUAAUGUCCUCCUUCAUGUUGGUCUGGCUCAGAGAACGACUACUGUUGUCUAAUGUCCUCCUUCAUGUAGGUCUGGCUCAGAGAACGACUACUGUUGUCUAAUGUCCUCCUCCAUGCUGGUCUGGCUCAGAGAGUGUUGUCUAAUGUCCUCCUUCAUGUUGGUCUGGCUCAGAGAGUGUUGUCUAAUGUCCUCCUUCAUGUUGGUCUGGCUCAGAGAGUGUUGUCUAAUGUCCUUCAUGUUGGUCUGGCUCAGAGAGUGUUGUCUAAUGUCCUCCUCCAUGCUGGUCUGGCUCAGAGAGUGUUGUCUAAUGUCCUCCUCCAUGUUGGUCUGGCUCAGAGAGUGUUGUCUAAUGUCCUCCUUCAUGUUGGUCUGGCUCAGAGAGUGUUGUCUAAUGUCCUUCAUGUUGGUCUGGCUCAGAGAGUGUUGUCUAAUGUCCUCCUCCAUGUUGGUCUGGCUCAGAGAGUGUUGUCUAAUGUCCUCCUUCAUGUUGGUCUGGCUCAGAGAGUGUUGUCUAAUGUCCUCCUCCAUGCUGGUCUGGCUCAGAGAGUGUUGUCUAAUGUCCUCCUCCAUGUUGGUCUGGCUCAGAGAGUGUUGUCUAAUGUCCUUCAUGUUGGUCUGGCUCAAAGAGUGUUGUCUAAUGUCCUCCUCCAUGUUGGUCUGGCUCAGAGAGUGUUGUCUAAUGUCCUCCUCCAUGUUGGUCUGGCUCAGAGAGUGUUGUCUAAUGUCCUUCAUGUUGGUCUGGCUCAAAGAGUGUUGUCUAAUGUCCUCCUCCAUGUUGGUCUGGCUCAGAGAGUGUUGUCUAAUGUCCUCCUUCAUGUUGGUCUGGCUCAGAGAGUGUUGUCUAAUGUCCUCCUCCAUGUUGGUCUGGCUCAGAGAGUCUUGUCUAAUGUCCUCCUCCAUGCUGGUCUGGCUCAGAGAGUGUUGUCUAAUGUCCUCCUUCAUGUUGGUCUGGCUCAGAGAGUGUUGUCUAAUGUCCUCCUUCAUGUUGGUCUGGCUCAGAGAGUGUUGUCUAAUGUCCUCCUUCAUGUUGGUCUGGCUCAGAGAGUGUUGUCUAAUGUCCUCCUUCAUGUUGGUCUGGCUCAGAGAGUGUUGUCUAAUGUCCUCCUUCAUGUUGGUCUGGGUCAGAGAGUGUUGUCUAAUGUCCUCCUUCAUGUUGGUCUGGCUCAGAGAGUGUUGUCUAAUGUCCUCCUCCAUGCUGGUCUGGCUCAGAGAGUGUUGUCUAAUGUCCUCCUCCAUGCUGGUCUGGCUCAGAGAGUGUUGUCUAAUGUCCUCCUUCAUGUUGGUCUGGGUCAGAGAGUGUUGUCUAAUGUCCUCCUUCAUGUUGGUCUGGGUCAGAGAGUGUUGUCUAAUGUCCUCCUUCAUGUUGGUCUGGGUCAGAGAGUGUUGUCUAAUGUCCUCCUUCAUGUUGGUCUGGGUCAGAGAGUGUUGUCUAAUGUCCUCCUUCAUGUUGGUCUGGGUCAGAGAGUGUUGUCUAAUGUCCUCCUCCAUGCUGGUCUGGCUCAGAGAGUGUUGUCUAAUGUCCUCCUCCAUGCUGGUCUGGCUCAGAGAGUGUUGUCUAAUGUCCUCCUUCAUGUUGGUCUGGGUCAUGUUCAUAUUGGUGCAAAACAGAAGAAAAACCCCCAGAGUGAAACAGUGAGUCCAGGAUACAGUAAUGACUCCCUCCAGGGGUAAUACAGUAAUGACUCCCUCCAGGGGUGAUACAGUAAUGACUCCCUCCAGGGGUAAUACAGUAAUGACUCCCUCCAGGGGUGAUACAGUAAUGACUCCCUCCAGGGGUAAUACAGUAAUGACUCCCUCCAGGGGUAAUACAGUAAUGACUCCCUCCAGGGGUGAUACAGUAAUGACUCCCUCCAGGGGUAAUACAGUAAUGACUCCCUCCAGGGGUAAUACAGUAAUGACUCCCUCCAGGGGUAAUACAGU